GGGGUUGAAGCCCCACCUGGCAACUAACCGUUUACUCAUACUACUGUAGUCUUCUAAGGUUGGGGGUAGAUAUAGAUUAUUAAGGAGAGAGGAAUUCAUGUUUUCUUUUCAUCCGCUUUAACUUUAAUGUCAAAGUCGUAUUAUUUCCUUUACUUUCUCAUCUCUUAUUCCCCUUUUACAGAAAAAUAAUAGAAGAAUCUUGUAUCAGUGGAGUGGAUUAUUUAUUAUUAUACAUCCGCGUCUUUGCUUAUUUCUUUGAGGGAGGGAG
rnacentral:lncRNA from 1 species